CGGUGUUUGGUGUUGAGGGAACCCCACCGGUCAUUCUGUUUUGGGCAGGGAACCCCUUCGACUGUGAGCCAUCAGCGAUCAUCUUGGAUUUGGGACUGUGAUUUGAGACGGGCGUCUC